rnacentral:sRNA from 1 species
UGGUAGAUGCACCCUGAUAACUUGCUCCUCUGAUUGAUGGCAAUCGGUGGAGUUUUUU